AGCACUCUACCCAUGGAAUCAUAUUAUAUAUAUAUAUAUAUAUAUAUAUAUAUAUAUAUAUAUAUAUGCUAGCUGUGCCCGGCCAUGCGUUGCUGUGGUGAAGUAUGGUGGUAUGGGAAAUAAAGUACUGAGGAAUUGGUGGUAGUUAAGGUAAAGGAUAAAGGUUUUCCCCUGACAUUAAGUUGAGUCGUGUCUGACUUCGGGGGUUGGUGGUCAUCUCCAUUUCUAAGCCGAAGAGAUGCCGUUGUCCAUAGACUCCUCCAAGGUCAUGUGGCAUGACUGCAUGGAGCACUGUUACCUUCCCGCUGGAGUAGUACCUAUUCAUCUACUGUCAUUUGCAUGUUUUUGAAGUUUAGGGUUGGCAGAAGCUGGGGCUAACAGUGGGGGCUCUGUCUGCUCCCCCAAUUCAAACCUGAAUGAAUGCUGUAAUUAGGGAAAUGAUUCGCAUGUAAUGGCCUUGCAGCUUUAAAGCCUGGCUGUUUCCUCCCUGAGUGAAUUUUUUGUUGGGAGGUGUUAGUUGGCCCUGAUUGUUUCCUGUCUAGAAUUCCCUUGUUUUCAGAGUGGUGUUCUUUGCAAUAUUUUAUGUGCUUCUACUGUCUGUGGCCCUCAGAAAACAGAGGAUUUGCUAGACUUUGGUGAUGGGAAUACUUUGUUGGGAGGUGUUAGCUGGCCCUGAUUGUUUCCUGUGUGGAAUUCCCCUGUUUUCAGAGUGUUGUUCUUUAUUUAGUGUUCUGAUUUCAGAGAUUGUAUUGUUCUGUUUUAUUAUACCACAUUAAUUUUUAUAUAUUCUGAUUUUAGUGUUUUUGAAUACUUGGAGGCAGAUUGUAUUCAUUUUCACGGUUCACAGUAACACAAUAAUAAUAAUAAUAAUAAUAAUAAUAAUAAUAAUAAUAAUAAUAAUAAUAAUGACUUUGGUAAUACACACCACUUCAGUCCAUUGUCAGCUUCCUUUCUGGAAGAAUCCUUCCUUGGGAGGUGUUAGCUGGCCCUGAUUGUUUCAUUUGUGGAAUUUCCAAUUUUCCUGCUUUCAGAGUGUUGCUCUUUAUUUACUGUCCUGGUUUUAGAGAUUAUAUUGUUGUGUAUUAUUCUACCACAGUAAUUAUUUCAUAUUACAGUAGAGUCUCACUUAUCCAACAUUCACUUAUCCAAUGUUCUGGAUUAUCCAACGCAGUCUGCCUUUUAGUAGUGUUUUCAAUACAUUGUGAUAUUUUGGUGCUAAAUUCGUAAAUACAGUAAUUACUACAUAGCAUUACUGCGUAUUAGGCCCGGGCUGUGGCGCAGGCUGGAGAGCAAGCCAGCUGCAACCAGCUGCAAUGAAUCACUCUGACCAGGAGGUCAUGAGUUCGAGGCCUGCUCGGAGCCUAUGUUUGUCUUGUCUUUGUUAUAUGUUAAAAAGGCAUUGAAUGUUUGCCUAUAUGUGUAAUGUGAUCCGCCCUGAGUCCCCUUCGGGGUGAGAAGGGUGGAAUAUAAAUGCUGUAAAUAAAUAAUAAAUAAAUUGAACUACUUUUUCUGUCAAAUUUGUUGUAUAACAUGAUGUUUUGGUGCUUAAUCUGUAAAAUCAUAACCUAAUUUGAUGUUUAAUAGGCUUUUCCUUAAUCCCUCCUUAUUAUCCAACAUAUUCGCUUAUCCAACAUUCUGCUGGCCCGUUUAUGUUGGAUAAGUGAGACUCUACUGUACUAGAUAUCCCUAUAGAGCUUUGUUGCUCUUGCCUUGAAAAAUACUA
rnacentral:lncRNA from 1 species